GUUCAUUGAGGUUUGCAGGCAUCUGUUUAUACACAGCACUUUUAAGGUCCCACCACAGCAUUUUAAUCAUGUUGAGGUUUGGACUUUGACUGGCCAUUGCAGCGCCUUCAUUUUUUUCUUUAGUGCUGUACUUGAGAUCAUUGUCGUGUUGCAUGACCCAAUUUCAGCCAAGCUAUAGCUGCCAGACAAACUCUCUCCUCUAUAGCGGAGUUCAUGGUCAAGUCGAUGACUUCAAGGUGCCCGGGUCAUGUGACUGCAAAAAAAGCCCAAAUCGUCACACCACCACUGCCGUGCUGAUAGUUGGUUUGAGGUGUUUGUGCUAAUAUGCUAUGUUUUUGGUUUUCACUAAACAUGGUGAUGUGCAUUAUGGACAGAAAUCAGUCACAUCUGUCUAAAAUUUUGUUGCAGAGGUAUUGUGGUUUCAUCCCUUGCAGCUUUGCAAAUCUAAGCAGUUCUUUUUAGACAGAUGACACUUUCUCUUGGUAAUCCUGUCCAAACAAGCCAUACUUGUUCAGUCUUUUUCUAAUUGUGCUUUUGUGGAGUUUAGCAUUUAACAUGCUGACUUAGGCCUGGGGAGUCUGAGAUGUAGCUCUUGGAUUGGAUUUUUUUUUGUUUUUGUUUGUUUGUUUUUUUGUUUUUUUUGCAGUGUUGCAUAGUCUGACCUUGGGGUGAAAUUGGGACAUCUACUCCUGUGAAGACUGGUAACCGUCUUGAAUGUUUUCCACUUGUUUAUAUUCUUUUUCGCUGUGGAAUGGUGGACUUCAAGUUGUUUGGAAAGACCUUGAGAACAACACAUAUCUGGAUGCUCCAGACUAGAAAGCUGCCAAAACAUCUGUGUUUUAUAGAGGAGCUCACACUCCCUGAGGAAGUUUAUUUGAUUGACACAGCGAGGCUGUAUUUAUCUAUUAUAAAACCUGCUAAGGACAAGAUGAUUUGUUUUAUUACGUUGAGAAAUGUGAAAUCAUAGAAUUUAAAGAAUGUCUACUUUCUUUUUUCCAUGAAUUUGAUAGCAGCAGCAUCCAUUAAUAACAAAUGUCCUCUUAAAUGCUCUUUUUUUUUUUUUCCAGGUAGGAUUUUUUUCACACUUUAGCUGAUUUCACUAUCAUUCUCAAAGUUUGGAAAGCUUGUUCAUGUUACAAGAGGAGGACAUCAUAAAACUGGAAAGAGACUGAGAAGCUUGUCAUAAGUAAUCUCAACUUCCCUUCAGGGUCAAAAUAUACUUUCCCAUCAUUUUGGCUGCAUUGUGUGUUCUGGUCCUUUAAUUGAAAGCAACCAGAGUUCCUUUUUUUAGUUCACGUCUUAUCUGAGAGACUUCUUCAGAUAUAAAAACUCUCGGACUCCCACCGCCCACUGGAACAAAAACUUGGUUAUCAUGACCUCGCACUGCUGAGCAGAGAGUGUUUCCUCUUAGGCACGAGGGACAGAAAAGGGACACACAGCACAUUAAGAGAGCACUUAAAAUAUGUGGUUAUUAAACUUGGCCUUGGAAAAGAUAUUAACCAGGGAGAAGCAGAACAGCAGGAGGAACAACACUGGCGUUCUUUAUGUGGCAGGUUUGUCGGAAAAACUCAAAAUUUUGUCCAAACAUCACAUUCGGCGUGCUUCAGACCCAGCAACAGCCUCAGACAAAAUCUGGUUCAUCCCAAGGACAAAAUACACAAACAAGCUAAACAAUAAAACAUAUGCUGUGCAAGAGAGUUUGGGCCUUUACAUAGAAACAGCUCCUCAAAGCAAGACUGAGCUUUAAAUCUGCACCUAAAGGAGAAAGGACACCAUCGCUGAAAAGAGGUGGUGCCCUAUAGGACACAAAAUAUCAGCCACCUAUAAUGCACUCUUGAAAUCUCUUUCCCCAUCAUUCGCACGUUGACUGCUCCUUA
ensembl:lncRNA